rnacentral:lncRNA from 1 species
UAAGUAGGGAUAUAGAUCCUAUGCUGACUGAGUUCCUCAACACUGUUAUGGAUGCUAACAAGGUUCUGACCCUUGCAGGCAAUGGAUGUGUGCCUGUGACUCUGUCAGUGUGGCUGCUGUUUGUGGUGCACAUUUAGGAGCUGCUGCCCCAGCUACAAUAUCCAGAGCUGAUGUUCAUCACCUGAAACCCCAGGACCUGGAGUAGAACCUGAAAAAUUGAGACAUGUACAAAGAAGUGGACUCACCUCAUUGUCUGCAGCUCUUCCUUCUGUCCACUGCACUUCAGCCAAGUUUCUCUUUUUAAAUGCUCCUCUACCAAGUCCCUCUGCCAAUCAUAGCAGGGAUGUUUGGAAAAAAGCUGGAGAAAGAACAUGGUCAUACCUAUGUUCCAGUAAAAGAAUGAGAAGCUCUUCCAUUUUAUUGGUGAUUUGAAUAUGCCUGAAGUGGGGAGACAUGGAAUGGUUUGGCCUCAUGCAUUGAUUUAGCAGCAUAUUGAUUAUGGACACUGGUGAGCAUUUGCUUCUUACUUAAUGUUAUGACAUAAUUUUUUCCUGUGGUCCAUGUUGGCAACUCUAAA